UCUGUGAUUGGUUCAACAGGAAUGAGUUGGCACUGAAUUCAUCGAAGACAAACAUUAUGGUAUUCAGAACAAAGAACUCCCGAGUUACUCCAACUGGCACCAUAAACCUGAAUGGCAAUGAAGUGAAACCUGUUCAUGAUAUGAGAUUUCUUGGAAUACAUAUUGAUGAAUUUUUAGAUUGGAACAGUCAUGUGGAAAAAACUGGGCUGAGAUUGAGUAGCAUUGGAUAUGGAAUCAGAGUGGUAUCCAGACAUAUGGAUGAGAGGACAUUGAAAAUACUGUACCACGCCAACUUUGAAUCGGCACCAAGUUGAAUUCAGCUCUAACUUUGGUCAUGGCUAUAAUACAAGGACGACGAAUUUCAUUUACCCUUCUCAUAGGCUUACAAGUACAGAAAAAGGAACCUACUAUAUGUGCAUAAAACUAUAUAAUAAAUUACCAUCUACAUGCAGAUUAUCUAGCUUAAUAAAAUUCAAGAAUGCCAUAAAGAAACUGCUAAUUAAACUGGAACCAUAUUCACUUAGAGAUUUUCUAGAUUGUAACAACUUGUCAGAGUUUGUAUAGAUUGUAUAUAUUGUUGUUGACAUCAUUUCGCUUCUCUCUCUGUAAUUUACUGUGGGGAUGAUUUGAAAUAAAGGAAUUUAUUAUUAUUAUUAUUA